GGGUUGUGAGGUUAAGCGACUAAGCGUACACGGUGGAUGCCUAGGCAGUCAGAGGCGAUGAAGGGCGUGCUAAUCUGCGAAAAGCGUCGGUAAGGUGAUAUGAACCGUUACAACCGACGAUACCCGAAUGGGGAAACCCAGUGCAAUUCGUUGCACUAUUGCAUGGUGAAUACAUAGCCAUGCAAGGCGAACCGGGGGAACUGAAACAUCUAAGUACCCCGAGGAAAAGAAAUCAACCGAGAUUCCCCUAGUAGCGGCGAGCGAACGGGGAGGAGCCCAGAGUCUGAAUCAGUUUGUGUGUUAGUGGAAGCGUCUGGAAAGUCGCACGGUACAGGGUGAUAGUCCCGUACACAAAAACACACUUGCUGUGAACUCGAUGAGUAGGGCGGGACACGUGACAUCCUGUCUGAAUAUGGGGGGACCAUCCUCCAAGGCUAAAUACUCCUGACUGACCGAUAGUGAACCAGUACCGUGAGGGAAAGGCGAAAAGAACCCCGGCGAGGGGAGUGAAAUAGAACCUGAAACCGUGUACGUACAAGCAGUGGGAGCACCUUCGUGGUGUGACUGCGUACCUUUUGUAUAAUGGGUCAGCGACUUAUAUUUUGUAGCAAGGUUAACCGAAUAGGGGAGCCGUAGGGAAACCGAGUCUUAACUGGGCGUCUAGUUGCAAGGUAUAGACCCGAAACCCGGUGAUCUAGCCAUGGGCAGGUUGAAGGUUGGGUAACACUAACUGGAGGACCGAACCGACUAAUGUUGAAAAAUUAGCGGAUGACUUGUGGCUGGGGGUGAAAGGCCAAUCAAACCGGGAGAUAGCUGGUUCUCCCCGAAAGCUAUUUAGGUAGCGCCUCGUGAACUCAUCUUCGGGGGUAGAGCACUGUUUCGGCUAGGGGGCCAUCCCGGCUUACCAAACCGAUGCAAACUCCGAAUACCGAAGAAUGUUAUCACGGGAGACACACGGCGGGUGCUAACGUCCGUCGUGAAGAGGGAAACAACCCAGACCGCCAGCUAAGGUCCCAAAGUCAUGGUUAAGUGGGAAACGAUGUGGGAAGGCAUAGACAGCCAGGAUGUUGGCUUAGAAGCAGCCAUCAUUUAAAGAAAGCGUAAUAGCUCACUGGUCGAGUCGGCCUGCGCGGAAGAUGUAACGGGGCUAAACCAUGCACCGAAGCUGCGGCAGCGACACUUAGGUGUUGUUGGGUAGGGGAGCGUUCUGUAAGCCGUUGAAGGUGACCUGUGAGGGUUGCUGGAGGUAUCAGAAGUGCGAAUGCUGACAUAAGUAACGAUAAUGCGGGUGAAAAACCCGCACGCCGGAAGACCAAGGGUUCCUGUCCAACGUUAAUCGGGGCAGGGUGAGUCGACCCCUAAGGCGAGGCUGAAAAGCGUAGUCGAUGGGAAACAGGUUAAUAUUCCUGUACUUGGUGUUACUGCGAAGGGGGGACGGAGAAGGCUAGGCUAGCCGGGCGACGGUUGUCCCGGUUUAAGCAUGUAGGCGGAGUGACUUGGUAAAUCCGGUUGCUUAUCAACGCUGAGGUGUGAUGACGAGCCACUACGGUGGUGAAGUAGUUGAUGCCAAGCUUCCAGGAAAAGCCUCUAAGCAUCAGGUAACAUUAAAUCGUACCCCAAACCGACACAGGUGGUCAGGUAGAGAAUACUCAGGCGCUUGAGAGAACUCGGGUGAAGGAACUAGGCAAAAUGGUGCCGUAACUUCGGGAGAAGGCACGCUGGCAUUAGGUAAUGGGACUUGCUCCCGGCGCCGAAGCCAGUCGCAGAUACCAGCUGGCUGCAACUGUUUAAUAAAAACACAGCACUGUGCAAACACGAAAGUGGACGUAUACGGUGUGACGCCUGCCCGGUGCUGGAAGGUUAAUUGAUGGGGUCAGCCUUACGGCGAAGCUCUUGAUCGAAGCCCCAGUAAACGGCGGCCGUAACUAUAACGGUCCUAAGGUAGCGAAAUUCCUUGUCGGGUAAGUUCCGACCUGCACGAAUGGCGUAAUGAUGGCCAGGCUGUCUCCACCCGAGACUCAGUGAAAUUGAACUCGCUGUGAAGAUGCAGUGUACCCGCGGCAAGACGGAAAGACCCCGUGAACCUUUACUAUAGCUUGACACUGAACAUUGAGCCUUGAUGUGUAGGAUAGGUGGGAGGCAUUGAAGUGUGGACGCCAGUCUGCAUGGAGCCAACCUUGAAAUACCACCCUUUAAUGUUUGAUGUUCUAACUCGGCCCCGUGAUCCGGGGUGAGGACAGUGUCUGGUGGGUAGUUUGACUGGGGCGGUCUCCUCCCAAAGAGUAACGGAGGAGCACGAAGGUUAGCUAAUCACGGUCGGACAUCGUGAGGUUAGUGCAAAGGCAUAAGCUAGCUUGACUGCGAGAGUGACGGCUCGAGCAGGUACGAAAGUAGGUCUUAGUGAUCCGGUGGUUCUGAAUGGAAGGGCCAUCGCUCAACGGAUAAAAGGUACUCCGGGGAUAACAGGCUGAUACCGCCCAAGAGUUCAUAUCGACGGCGGUGUUUGGCACCUCGAUGUCGGCUCAUCACAUCCUGGGGCUGAAGUAGGUCCCAAGGGUAUGGCUGUUCGCCAUUUAAAGUGGUACGCGAGCUGGGUUUAGAACGUCGUGAGACAGUUCGGUCCCUAUCUGCCGUGGGCGUUGGAAGAUUGAGAGGGGCUGCUCCUAGUACGAGAGGACCGGAGUGGACGAAUCACUGGUGUUCGGGUUGUCAUGCCAAUGGCAUUGCCCGGUAGCUAAAUUCGGAAGAGAUAACCGCUGAAAGCAUCUAAGCGGGAAACUUGCCUCGAGAUGAGUCUUCCCUGGGGCUUUAAGCCCCCUAAAGGAACGUUAAAGACUAUGACGUUGAUAGGCUGGGUGUGUAAGUGCAGCGAUGCAUUGAGCUAACCAGUACUAAUGAUCCGUGAGGCUUAACCUUACAACACCAAAGGUGUUUUG
rnacentral:rRNA from 1 species